rnacentral:rRNA from 1 species
UACGUAGGGUGCAAGCGUUGUCCGGAAUUAUUGGGCGUAAAGAGCUCGUAGGCGGUUUGUUGCGUCGGCUGUGAAAUCCCGAGGCUCAACCUCGGGUCUGCAGUCGAUACGAGCAAACUAGAGUGUUGCAGGGGAGAACGGAAUUCCUGGUGUAGCGGUGAAAUGCGCAGAUAUCAGGAGGAACACCGGUGGCGAAGGCGGUUCUCUGGGCCUUACCUGACGCUGAGGAGCGAAAGCGUGGGGAGCAAACAGG